ensembl:lncRNA
UAGAAACAUGCUAGCGACAUGCUAGUAACAUGCUAAUAAUGCUGGAAACAUGCUAGUCAAAUGUUAAUCAUGGUAGAAACAUGGUAGCGACAUGUUAGUAACUUGCUAAUCAUGGUAACAACAUGCUAGUGACUUGCUAAUUAUGUUAGAAACAUGCUAGCAUCAUGCUAGUCACGUGCUACUCAUGCUAGAAACAUGCUAGCAACAUGCUAGUAAUAUGUUAAUCUCUUGCUUUAUUAAACUUCUUAAACUUUUCAAACUUUUUAAACUUUUUACGCUUUCUAAAUUUUUCAAACUUUCUGUUCAGGCUUUCUCAAGCCGACGUAAACUUUUUUAUCUAUUUAUUAUUAUUCUUCUGACCCAAAAUUUUGCAACUCUAACUCCUCCUAGAGCUUUAACUCUACAAACUCCAAACUCGGGUCAGACUUUCAGACUGUUCUGACUUGGUGUGCUAUAUCUUUUCAGACUGAUUUGACUUUCAGUUUUCUUAAAAAUGAAUAUUAAAAAUCAUAAAAACCCCAUAGACUUACAUUGCAGAGUGCUCAAAUUGAGCAAAGACUACGGUGGCCCAUUAGUGCACAAGCCAAAAAUUCAAAUCUAAACUCCCUGAAGCCCUAGACUCAAUUAAACUACCAUUCUAUGUCUAUCUAUCUAUCUAUCUAUCUAUCUAUCUAUCUAUCUAUCUAUCUAUCUAUCUAUCUAUCUAUCUAUCUAUCUAUCAUCUAUCUACAGUAUCUAUCUUCAAACGUUUUCUAUCUAUCUUCAAACUUUUUCUAUCUAUCUAUCUAUCUAUCUAUCUAGCUACAGUAUCUAUCUACAGUAUCUAUCUAUCAUCUAUCUACAGUAUCUAUCUUCAAACUUUUUCUAUCUUCAAACUUUUUCUAUCUAUCUAUCUAUCUAUCUAUCUAUCUAUCUAUCUAUCUAUCUUCAAACUAUUUCUUGCUUUCUUUCUAUCGGUCUAUCUAUCAAUCUGACUGUUUCUAUCUAUCUGUCUAUCUAUCUAUCUAUCUAUCUAUCUACUCAUCUAAUAUUUCUAAUCUAUCUAUCUAUCUACUCAUCUAAUAUUUCUAAUCUAUCUAUCUAUCUAUCUAUCUAUCUAUCUAUCUAUCCUAGCAACAUGCUAAUAAUGUAAGAAACAUGCUAGUCGAAUGCUAAUCAUGCUAGAAACAUGUUAACAACAUGCUAGUCGCAUGCUAGUCAUGCUAGAAACAUGCUAGCAACAUGCUAGUCGCAUGCUAAUCAUGCUAGCAACAUGCUAGCAGGAUGCUAAUCAUGCUAGAAACAUGGUAGCAUCAUGGUAGUCACAUGCUAAUCAUGCUAGAAACAUGUUAGCAACAUGCUAGCGACAUGCUAAUCAUGCUACAAACAUGUUAGCAACAUGCUAGCGACAUGCUAGCAACAUGCUUUUUUUAAUGGAUGGACACUUUUUAUUUCACUUCUUUUGGACUGAGGCAUGCAACCCGCUGAGUGCCAUCAAACAGCUUAAAAGAUCAAUUUCUUGGACUUCCGGUUGGGCAGUGAAGCACGAUGGCACGUUAAACUGUGAGCUCCCUUAAGUCAGUUUCAAAACUCCGCUAAACUCGAUAUAUAUUUGUUGAGAAUUUACGUGUGCUGAGAGAUGAGCGGAGGUAACAAACCUAAAGCUAAAAAAAACCUCGAAAAGCGAGGUAAAGACCCCAAACGAACAGAAACAGACAGCAUGCAAGAAAAAGAAGAAAAUAGCGACCGAGAAACUGCAGACGCUCUGCGCGCGGGUUUAAACGCUAUAAGUAAGCAGAUACAGGAAUUUCGCAGCGAGCUGAAAGCGGAGCUCGGGACAUUUAAAGAU